GGUUGAGAGUUCAGAUUUGAGAAUUUAAAAUCUUAUUUGCCGUAUAAUAGAGCGGAUUAAAAUGUGUAUCUGUAGCUAUGACGGCGGCGACGUCAAACUCUUUGAUAGAUGAAAAUAUGAUUUAAAGUUUUGCGAGUAUUCGGAUGAAAAUGUGAGAGGAAUUGUUACGAGGGUUUAAUAAAUACUGAGCACUAUGGUGGCAUAAAACGUAGAACGCAAAUGUUUGAUGUGUUGUUGGAUACAACUUCAAGUAUUGUCAACAAAACUCAGGGGCAGGCUAGGCGGCUGUUUACAGUGGGUUACAAAAAUAUUACAAGCAAUUAAUGUCAGCUUUGUUUUAUGUGUAAAGUAAAAAA